rnacentral:lncRNA from 1 species
GUGCGGCCUUCCCCAGCGGCUGUAGCAGGAGACCUGCGGCUGCAUCUCCCAGGGCCUUCCGGCGGGGCCGAGGGUAGGACCGAGGCACUUCUUCCUUGCAAGCGCGUUUAUUUGUAUUUUCAACCACACUUCAGACGCUACUGGUUUAUAGGAACGUUAAGUUUACUGAGUGUGCAGCUACGCUCCCCUGGGUUUUUGUUCCUUUCCUUAAAGGGCCAGGUGUAGGAGACAGUAGUCCUGCUCCCAAAAAAAGAAUAAAUAGAAGUGCCCGCCCUCUUGGGCUGGACCCCCGUGGCCAAGGGAGUUUUUAGUGAUGGCUGGCAUGGACGUCAGUAUGAAAGUGUACCGGAGUAUUAGUGAUGCUUAACUUUUCACAAUUUGAAUAUGCACUUAAGUAGGGCAGUGCAUUCCCUGAACUCAGCUUUAUGGCUACAGCCCAGUGAAGCAACGGGAUGUGAACUCCAAAACGGCGAAUCCUCCUUUGCUGUUUCCCUCUGGUGCCUUUCUGCAGCCUCGGAGUGAGUUCUUGGCUGUAGUCAGUUUUCAGUACCGUUAGUGACGAGUCCGGUGGGGCGCGGCCAGGAUUAGGAUGAAUCAUACAAGUGCUGGGUGGAUCCUGUCUUUACCUAAAAUUUUGAUAAUUAGUUGUGGGGCGCGGCCAGGAUUAGGAUGAAUCAUACAAGUGCUGGGUGGAUCCUGUCUUUACCUAAAAUUUUGAUAAUUAGUUCAUCAUGGGUUUUUUGCCUUUUUCAUUUUUAAAAAUGUUAAAAUAGUGUCACUCUUGAUGACUUAAAUUUUUUUCAUCCCCGUAAACGCACCUGAGGCCUGUGCUUCCUUGCCUCACCCUAACCUGGCCCUGGGGCUAGAUCCUGGAGAUUCAGGGUUGAAAAGACAAAGUCCUGUCCUUUAGGGAGUUUACAGAGACCAAUGGGAAAGAAGUUGACAGUGAACAAUUUCAGAACACGAAAGAGGAUAUGAAAGAAUGUAAUCGGGGGUAGAGAAUGCAGAUUAGUAUAGGUUAAGGAUUUUGGAUGGUCAGGACGCUUUCUGAGGCUUUGAACCCAGAUGCGUUGAACUGGCAAUGCAGGGCUGCAUAAUAAGCAGAGGGAAUAAUAAGCAGAGGGAAUGCCUGACUACGACUUAGUGAACAAGAGAGAGAGGAGAUGAGGUUAGAGAGGUAGGCAGAAGCCAGAUCCUGUGGGACCUUGUAGUUUUUCCAUGCAGAGUUUAGACUUUCUUCUGAUUGCAGUGGUUAGCUGUUGGAAGGAUUUUGGCAAGCACACAAUACUGAGACCAGAAUAAAG